rnacentral:rRNA from 1 species
CCUUACGGAAGCCAGCAGUCGGGAAUUUUGCGCAAUGGCCGAAAGUCGGACUGAGCAACGCCGCGUCAGUGAGGAAGGCUUUCGCAUCGUAAAGCUCUUUCUUUAGGACGAUCGCACUUUUUGUGGAUAAUGAGAUGUAGUGACGUACUACAGAGCG